AGGACUAUACUUUCAGGGAUCAUUUCUAUAGGAUUUGGAGGGCGAAAUGCUGCUUGAAAGUGUCCAAACUUGCUCACCAUGAUGAUGUGAUUGAGCGUUUUCUUCCUGUCCCGAUACGUGCUGGCAGCUCUGCCGUGGCAGUUGUUGCCUGUUACUGAUGAGUUUCCUGUUCUUUUCAGAAGGAGAACAGGAGGAAGAGAACCCAAUCUGAGUGGU
ensembl:snoRNA U3 Small nucleolar RNA U3